AUUGAACGCUGGCGGCAGGCCUAACACAUGCAAGUCGAACGAGUGGCGGACGGGUGAGUAAUGUCUGGGAAACUGCCUGAUGGAGGGGGAUAACUACUGGAAACGGUAGCUAAUACCGCAUCCCAUCAGAUGUGCCCAGAUGGGAUUAGCUAGUUGGUUGGGUAACGGCUCACAAAUGCGACGAUCCCUAGCUGGUCUGAGAGGAUGACCAGCCAAACGGGAACUGAGACACGAGCCAGACUACUACGGUCGGCAGCAGUGGGGAAUAGUGCACAAUGGGCGCAAGCCUGAUGCAGCCAUGCUGCGUGUAUGAAGAAGGCCUUCGGGUUGUAAAGUACUUUCAGCGGGGAGGCGUUACCCGCAGAAGAAGCACCGGCUAACUCCGUGCCAGCAGCCGCGGUAAUUC
rnacentral:rRNA from 1 species